rnacentral:rRNA from 1 species
ACGGGUGAGUAACACGUAUCCAACCUGCCGUCUACUCUUGGCCAGCCUUCUGAAAGGAAGAUUAAUACAAGAUGGCAUCAUGAGUCCGCAUGUUCACAUGAUUAAAGGUAUUCCGGUAGACGAUGGGGAUGCGUUCCAUUAGAUAGUAGGCGGGGUAACGGCCCACCUAGUCUACGAUGGAUAGGGGUUCUGAGAGGAAGGUCCCCACAUUGGAACUGAGACACGGUCCAA